rnacentral:tRNA from 1 species
GCACUGCUGGUGCAAUGGCAUCAUGCAAGAUUCCCAUUCUUGCGACCCAGGUUCAAUUCCCGGGUGGCACA